rnacentral:rRNA from 1 species
UACGGAGGAUCCGAGCGUUAUCCGGAUUUAUUGGGUUUAAAGGGUGCGUAGGCGGCUUUUUAAGUCAGCGGUGAAAUUUUGCAGCUUAACUGUAACAGUGCCGUUGAUACUGGGGAGCUAGGAUUUGGUUGCUGUGGGUGGAAUGUGUGGUGUAUCGGUGAAAUGCUUAGAGAUCACACAGAAUAUCGAUUGCGAAGGCAGCUCACAAAGCCAAGAUUGACGCUGAGGCACGAAAGUGUGGGGAUCAAACAGGAUUAGAUA